rnacentral:rRNA from 1 species
AUUGAACGCUGGCGGCAGGCCUAACACAUGCAAGUCGAGCGGAUGAAGGGAGCUUGCUCCUGGAUUCAGCGGCGGACGGGUGAGUGAUGCCUAGGAAUCUGCCUGGUAGUGGGGGAUAACGUCCGGAAACGGGCGCUAAUACCGCAUACGUCCUGAGGGAGAAAGUGGGGGAUCUUCGGACCUCACGCUAUCAGAUGAGCCUAGGUCGGAUUAGCUAGUUGGUGGGGUAAAGGCCUACCAAGGCGACGAUCCGUAACUGGUCUGAGAGGAUGAUCAGUCACACUGGAACUGAGACACGGUCCAGACUCCUACGGGAGGCAGCAGUGGGGAAUAUUGGACAAUGGGCGAAAGCCUGAUCCAGCCAUGCCGCGUGUGUGAAGAAGGUCCUCGGAUUGUAAAGCACUUUAAGUUGGGAGGAAGGGCAGUAAGUUAAUACCUUGCUGUUUUGACGUUACCAACAGAAUAAGCACCGGCUAACUUCGUG